rnacentral:tRNA from 1 species
GAUUCCAUAGAAUAGUGGUUAGCACGUCUGCUUUACAUACAGAAGGACCUGGGUUCGAGCCCCAUUGGAGCCA